CCUACGGGGGACAGCAGUGAGGAAUAUUGGUCAAUGGCCGUAAGGCUGAACCAGCCAAGUCGCGUGAAGGAAGAAGGAUCUAUGGUUUGUAAACCUCUUUUAUAGGGGAAUAAAGGUAUCCACGGAUGGAUAUUUCCAUGUAACCUAUGAAUAAGCCUCGGCUAACUCCGUGCCAGCCGCCGCGGUAAUACGGAGGGUGGGAGCGUUAUCCGGAUUUAUUGGGUUUAAAGGGUGCGUAGGUUGUUUUUUAAGUCAGCGGUGAAAGUUUGUGGCUCAACCAUAAAAUUGCCGUUGAAACUGGAAGACUUGAGUGUGUUUGAGGUAGGCGGAAUGCGUGGUGUAGCGGUGAAAUGCAUAGAUAUCACGCAGAACUCCGAUUGCGAAGGCAGCUUACUAAGCCAUAACUGACACUGAAGCACGAAAGCGUGGGGAUCAAACAGGAUUAGAUACCCGAGUAGUC
rnacentral:rRNA from 1 species